GCUUAUGGCCAUACCAGCCUGGCUAUGCCCGAUCUUGUCUGAUCUCGGAAGCUAAGCAGGUUUGGGCUGGUUAGUGCCUGGAUGGGAGACCGCCUGGAAUACCAGGUACUGUAAGCU
rnacentral:rRNA from 1 species